UACAGAGGUCUCAAGCGUUGUUCGGAUUCAUUGGGCGUAAAGGGUGUGUAGGUGGCGCGCUAAGUCGGGUGUGAAAUUUCGGAGCUUAACUCCGAAACUGCAUUCGAUACUGGCGUGCUUGAGGACUGGAGAGGAGACUGGAAUUCACGGUGUAGCAGUGAAAUGCGUAGAGAUCGUAAGGAAGACCAGUGGCGAAGGCGGGUCUCUGGACAGUUCCUGACACUGAGGCACGAAGGCCAGGGGAGCAAACGGG
rnacentral:rRNA from 1 species